rnacentral:rRNA from 1 species
GGGUUGAUAGGCCGGAGAUGGAAGCCUAGUGAUAGGUGGAGUUGACCGGUACUAAUAGGCCGAGGGCUUGUCCA